rnacentral:pre_miRNA from 1 species
GGGUGGAGCACAGGAUCCUGGGCUGUGUCCCCCGCGCCCUGGGCUCCAGGGCCUGCGCUGCUGGGAUCGCCCCCUGGGGUGCACAGUCCCCU